CCUACGGGUGGCUGCAGUGGGGAAUAUUGGACAAUGGGGGCAACCCUGAUCCAGCCAUGCCGCGUGUGUGAAGAAGGCCCUCGGGUUGUAAAGCACUUUCAGUGAGGAAGAACGCCUGGUGGUUAAUACCCAUCAGGAAAGACAUCACUCACAGAAGAAGCACCGGCUAACUCCGUGCCAGCAGCCGCGGUAAUACGGAGGGUGCGAGCGUUAAUCGGAAUUACUGGGCGUAAAGCGCGCGUAGGGGGCUUGAUAAGCCGGUUGGGAAAGCCCCGGGCUCAACCUGGGAACGGCAUCCGGAACUGUCCAGCUAGAGUGCAGGAGAGGAAGGUAGAAUUCCCGGUGUAGCGGUGAAAUGCGUAGAGAUCGGGAGGAAUACCAGUGGCGAAGGCGGCCUUCUGGACUGACACUGACACUGAGGUGCGAAAGCGUGGGUAGCAAACAGGAUUAGAUACCCCAGUAGUC
rnacentral:rRNA from 1 species